GGAUUGUUGGGAAGGGGUGGUGGCCUCUGGGUCAUUGCCGGAUUGUUGGGAAGGGGUGGUGACCUCUGGAUUGUUACUGGAUUGUUGGGAAGGGGUGGUGACCUCUGGAUUGUUAGUGGAUUGUUGGGAAGGGGUGGUGACCUCUGGAUUGUUACUGGAUUGUUGGGAAGGGGUGGUGACCUCUGGAUUGUUACUGGAUUGUUGGGAAGGGUGGUGACCUCUGGGUUGUUACUGGAUUGUUG
rnacentral:lncRNA from 1 species